UCCAGUAUGCUAUUGUUAAUCGCCGCGAUGUAGUUACAGGAAGCAUUGAGGGUGGACAUGUAAACUCAACUGCUAUACAUAUCAAGAACUACGAGCAAUUGAUUACAUUGAUAUUCAAGUCCAAGGAUACAACAUUCACUCUGGAGUGGACACCGAGCAAGCAUCUGUUAAAAGUAGCAUUCUCUGGCACUGAUUACAAUGGAAAGAUCUGUGGUUUACUUGGUAAUGCUGAUGGUGACAAACGUAAUGACUUCCAGACGCCAGAUGGUAUUGAAGUAAACGACGCCACUACGUUUGGUGAAAGCUGGAAGGUAAACGGAAAAGUGUGUGGUUAACAGUCUUCUACUACCAAGAUCUGGACACAGAUUUGGAUUUUCUCAUUGCAUGUAAUAUUAGAUUAUUUAUUCGGGGAUGUUUUUUUCGAUAUGUCGUUUGAUGGCAAUUCGAAUUUGUCGAUUUCAGCAAAAUUACGGAUUACUGAUUGCAGGUU